AAAGCACUUUCAGCGAGGAGGAAAGGUUGGCGCCUAAUACGUGUCAACUGUGACGUUACUCGCAGAAGAAGCACCGGCUAACUCCGUGCCAGCAGCCGCGGUAAUACGGAGGGUGCAAGCGUUAAUCGGAAUUACUGGGCGUAAAGCGCACGCAGGCGGUUGGAUAAGUUAGAUGUGAAAGCCCCGGGCUCAACCUGGGAAUUGCAUUUAAAACUGUCCAGCUAGAGUCUUGUAGAGGGGGGUAGAAUUCCAGGUGUAGCGGUGAAAUGCG
rnacentral:rRNA from 1 species